GACGAACGCUGGCGGCAUGCCUAAUACAUGCAAGUCGAGCGAACAGAUGUAGUGCUUGCACUUCUGACGUUAGCGGCGAACGGGUGAGUAACACGUAAGGAAUCUACCUAUAAGCGGGGGAUAACAUUCGGAAACGGGUGCUAAUACCGCAUAAUAUCUUCUUCCGCAUGGAAGAAGAUUGAAAGACGGCUCUGCUGUCACUUAUAGAUGACCUUGCGGUGCAUUAGUUAGUUGGUGGGGUAACGGCCUACCAAGACGAUGAUGCAUAGCCGGCCUGAGAGGGUGAUCGGCCACAUUGGGACUGAGACACGGCCCAAACUCCUACGGGAGGCAGCAGUAGGGAAUCUUCCGCAAUGGGCGAAAGCCUGACGGAGCAAUGCCGCGUGAGUGAAGAAGGCCUUCGGGUCGUAAAACUCUGUUAUAAGAGAAGAACAAAUUGUAGAGUAACUGCUACAGUCUUGACGGUAUCUUAUCAGAAAGCCACGGCUAACUACGUGCCAGCCGCCGCCGUAA
rnacentral:rRNA from 1 species